rnacentral:rRNA from 1 species
CCUACGGUGGGCAGCAGUGGGGGAUAUUGCACAAUGGGGGGAACCCUGAUGCAGCGACGCCGCGUGUGGGAAGACGGUCCUCUGGAUUGUAAACCACUGUCCCCAGGGACGAAACUGACGGUACCUGGGGAGGAAGCUCCGGCUAACUACGUUCCAGCAGCCGCGGUAAUACGUAGGGAGCGAGCGUUGUCCGGAAUUACGGGGUGUAAAGGGAGCGUAGGGGGGGAUUAAAGUUGGGUGUCAAAACUACCGGCUAAACUGGUAGUCGCACCCAAAACUGCAGCUCGUGAGUGAAGUAGAGGCAGGCGGAAUUCCUAGUGUAGCGGUGAAAUGCGUAGAUAUUAGGAGGAACACCAGUGGCGAAGGCGGCCUGCUGGGCUUUUACUGACGCUGAGGCUCGAAAGUGUGGGGAGCAAACAGGAUUAGAUACCCUUGUAGUC